CAGCGCCGCGGUAAAACGGAGGGUGCAAGCGUUAAUCGGAAUUACUGGGCGUAAAGCGCACGCAGGCGGUUCGUUAAGUCAGAUGUGAAAUCCCCGAGCUUAACUUGGGAACUGCAUUUGAAACUGGCAAGCUAGAGUCUUGUAGAGGGGGGUAGAAUUCCAGGUGUAGCGGUGAAAUGCGUAGAGAUCUGGAGGAAUACCGGUGGCGAAGGCGGCCCCCUGGACAAAGACUGACGCUCAGGUGCGAAAGCGUAGGGAGCAAACAGGAUUAGAUACCCGCGUAGUCCCUGUCUCUUAUACA
rnacentral:rRNA from 1 species